ACACCGUUGGUGAAGUGGUUAUCAUGCUUGCCUUCCAUAGCUUUUCCCAUGUUGAGAAGCAAGCGGCUCGGGUUCGAUUCCCGAACGGUGUA